UAAGUGCAUUUACAUCAUCACUAUCCAUCUCCAGAACUUUUUCAUUAUCCCAAUCCGAAACUUGGUACCUAUUAAACAAUACACCCCAUUCCACCCCCCUACAUCUUCUGGUAACCACUGUUCUACUUUCUGUCUCUGUGAAUUUGACUGCUUUAGGUACUGUGGGUAAGUGGAAUCACAUAAUAUUUGUCCUUUUGUGUUUUAUGUGUUUCAUGUAGCAUAAUGUCUUCAAGUUUCAUCCAUGUUGUAGCUAGUAUUUGAAUUUCCUUGACAGUGACAUCAGAGGAAUGGCAGCGUAAGGACAAAUCUUUUCCUUUCCCCCUGACAUUUCAACAAGUUUACCAUCUAUAAUUCAACAAAGAAAUCCCUGCUCAGCACAGAUGCACACCUGAGAGAUCCGAGCAUGGAAACAACUGAAGGCUAGUUUCCUCACUCUUCUACAAGACUUUGCAAUUUGGGAGAAAUUCUACAAGUCAUGUUGUGACUUCCCAGCACGACCUUGUGUCAUGGCCGCCCAAGGACACAAACAUCUUUCAAAAUUGGCCUCGCUUUGCAUGUGUUACAUAACUUUGAGCACGGAACAGCUUUUGAAAUGGGAAAAAUUUUCAGGACGUGGAAUGAAGAGCAUCAAAAGGAUAAUGAGAGCAAUCUACAGGAAAUCAUAUCUGACCACUCACAGUAUCAACAGCAAUUCAACAGCAGAAUACCCAUGAACACUGGACAGUCCAGGACAUUCAAGGAGACAGCUAACCAAAGGAACUUCAGCAUCUGGAAGGCUGGACCAAGGCAGGGGUGCACUUGACAGGGAUGUCCACUGACCACACACCUCAAAAGGUGACACGGCUCAUUACCAGCCAGUUUUUUUGGUGAGAAGUGACCAGGCCCUAAUGCGCCAGUGUGAGCACACUGGCUUGAGAUGACUGGCUGGGCCUGGCUAAAUAUGAGACCAGAUAUUAGACAAAAUGCCUUUUUACCCCAAGGUGGGGGAGGGAGGUGGAAAGGGCCUCUUGUAUCUGCAGGGUCUGCAUGCCCUGCACUCGUGCCAACAGGAGGGCUCCACUGGCACAAGGAGCUCG